rnacentral:rRNA from 1 species
ACGCUCGUAGUCGGAUUUCGGGGCGGGCCGACCGGUCUGCCGAUGGGUACGCACUGGUCGGCGCGUCCUUCCUUCCGGAGACCGUGCCUACUCUUAACUGAGCGGGGGCGGGAGACGGAACGUUUACUUUGAAAAAAUCAGAGUGUUUCAAGCAGGCAGCUCGCUCUUGCAUGGAUUAGCAUGGGAUAAUGAAAUAGGACUUUGGUGCUAUUUUGUUGGUUUCGAACACCGAAGUAAUGAUGAGAAGGGACAGUCAGGGGCACUCGUAUUCCGCCGAGAGAGGUGAAAUUCUCAGACCAGCGGAAGACGAACCACUGCGAAAGCAUUUGCCAGGGAUGUUUUCACUGAUCAAGAACGAAAGUUAGGGGAUCGAAGACGAUCAGAUACCGUCGUAGUCUGAACCAUAAACCAUACCGACUAGGGAUUGGGGGAUGUUCACUGAUUGACUCCCUCAGCACCUUACGGGAAACUAAAGUCUUUGGGUUCCGGGGGGAGUAUGGUCGCAAGGCUGAAACUUAAAGGAAUUGACGGAAGGGCACCACCAGGUGUGGAGCCUGCGGCUUAAUUUGACUCAACACGGGGAAACUUACCAGGUCCAGACAUGGUGAGGAUUGACAGAUUGAGAGCUCUUUCUUGAUUCAGUGGGUGGUGGUGCAUGGCCGUUCUUAGUUGGUGGAGUGAUUUGUCU